UACGUAAGGUCCGAGCGUUGUCCGGAAUCAUUGGGCGUAAAGGGUUCGCAGGCGGAAAUGCAAGUCAGAUGUAAAAGGCAGUAGCUUAACUACUGUAAGCAUUUGAAACUGCAUAUCUUGAGAAGAGUAGAGGUAAGUGGAAUUUUUAGUGUAGCGGUGAAAUGCGUAGAUAUUAAAAAGAAUACCGGUGGCGAAGGCGACUUUCUGGCCAUAAACUGACGCUGAGGUACGAAAGCGUGGGUAGCAAACAGG
rnacentral:rRNA from 1 species